rnacentral:rRNA from 1 species
UACAGAGGGGCAAGCGUUAUUCGGAAUUAUUGGGCGUAAAGAGCUCGUAGGCGGCUCGGUAAGUCGGAUGUGAAACCUCCAGGCUCAACCUGGAGACGCCAUCUGAUACUGCCGUGGCUUGAGUCCAGUAGAGGAGUGUGGAAUUCCCGGUGUAGCGGUGAAAUGCGCAGAUAUCAGGAAGAACACCCGUGGCGAAGGCGGUUCUCUGGAACGCAACUGACGCUGAGACGCGAAAGCGUGGGGAGCAAACAGG